UCCUCGCUCAAAGAAUCGCAUUCAAAGCUCACACACAAAAGGAAUUUACUCCUUUUAUCUCUUGCUUUGGGAGAAAGUCCCCGGACACCCUGCGCUUUGGUUCCGCCAAAGUUCCAAGCCAGGCACUGCGGAAACGCGCCGCCAUAGAAGCAAUUCGAUAGCGGCUGACUGCCCUAUUCCCUCCCAGCACUUCGCACCACCCGACGGUUACAUGUAACAAUGUCUCUGGAAACAAUGGGGUGUGUGUUUGGUGUUGGAGAGGGGAAGGAUUUAGUUCCUUGUAUUGGGUUGCCUUUCGUCAUGUUCGGAUAGUCAUGCGAUUGCCCUUUUCAUCUGCUUCCGUCAGGUUGUCGGUGGAGGGUAACUCAAUGGGGCUCAUUCUUGAGGCGAGG
rnacentral:RNase_MRP_RNA from 1 species